AGCCAGCCAGCCAGCCGCGCCAGGACUCCCGACUCCUGCAGGUAGCCCUUGGGUAAAGCAGCUUUCAGUGAAUUAAAGCAGCUCACAAUCCAACUCAGGACACAGAGGCACCCCAGCUGAAGAUUCUACCACUGGCAAGCCUGUGAACUUGACAUUACAGCGUCUGCUUUGACUUGCACAACCAGGAGACGGCAUUCUUCUCUGAGUCACUAAAUGCCGGUGUGCAUCCUGUACUCCAGCAAGAGAAGAAGGGAGGAGCUUCUUGGAUGACAAUGGACGUUGCACUGUGCAGGAUGAGGGCAGAGUGUGUGACAUCACCACCACGAGGGUUCAGCGUGAUCUUCUGUGUCUCCCUUCCCAGCCAGCA
rnacentral:lncRNA from 1 species